UCUUCUGCAAUGGACGAGAGUCUGACGGAGCAACGCCGCGUGAGUGAUGAAGGUUUUCGGAUCGUAAAGCUCUGUUGUUAGGGAAGAACAAGUGCCGUUGAAAUAUGGCGGCACCUUGACGGUACCUAACCAGAAAGCCCCGGCUAACUACUUGCCAGCAGCCGCGGUAAUACGUAGGUGGCAAGCGUUGUCCGGAAUUAUUGGGCGUAAAGGGCGCGCAGGCGGUUUCUUAAGUCUGAUGUGAAAGCCCCCGGCUCAACCGGGGAGGGUCAUUGGAAACUGGGGAACUUGAGUGCAGAAGAGGAGAGUGGAAUUCCACGUGUAGCGGUGAAAUGCGUAGAGAUGUGGAGGAACACCAGUGGCGAAGGCGACUCUCUGGUCUGUAACUGACGCUGAGGAGCGAAAGCGUGGGGAGCGAACAG
rnacentral:rRNA from 1 species